GAUGAACGCUAGCGGCAGGCUUAAUACAUGCAAGUCGAGGGGCAUCAAGGUACACGAAAGUGUAUUGUUGGCGACCGGCGGACGGGUGAGUAAUAGGUAGGUAACCUACCUCAUACUGAGGCAUAGCUGGGAGAAAUUCCAGGUAAUUCCUCAUGAGGUUAUAUGACACAUGUGAUAUAAUCAAAGGUAUCGCAAGGUACUGGUAUGAGAUGGGCUUACUGACCAUUAGCUAGUUGGUGAGAUAAGAGCUCACCAAGGCGAAGAUGGUUAGGGGUUUUGAGAGAGAGAUCCCCACAUUGGAACUGAGAUACGGUCCAGACUCCUACGGGAGGCAGCAGUAGGGAAUAUUGGGCAAUGGGCGGAAGCCUGACCCAGCCAUGCCGCGUGAAGGAGGACGGCCUUAUGGGUUGUAAACUUCUUUACUAUGCGACUAACUAGAUUUACGAGAUAAUUCUAUAGAAUGUAGCAUAGCAAAAAGCACCGGA
rnacentral:rRNA from 1 species